rfam:Phytophthora ramorum strain Pr102 Scaffold21 genomic scaffold, whole genome shotgun sequence.
AAAAAGGGCAGGCCUUGCCUAAGGCACAGUAUGGGGCGGCUCCGGCCGUCCUUGUGGUGAAUCGCGAUCAGGAGAUUUGCCCUGCAUAAUUUCUGAGCAGCCGCGCUGGAAUGGACCUCACGGGCUAAUUCCACCGG